GUAAAGGCAAAAGAGAGCUUGAUUGCAAGACAUACAGGUCGAGCAAGGAUGAAAAUCGGACUUAGUGAUCCGGUGGUUCUGCGUGGAAGGGCCAUCGCUCAACGGAUAAAAGCUACCCUGGGGAUAACAGGCUUAUCUCCCCCAAGAGUCCACAUCGACGGGGAGGUUUGGCACCUCGAUGUCGGCUCAUCACAUCCUGGGGCUGUAGUAGGUCCCAAGGGUUGGGCUGUUCGCCCAUUAAAGUGGUACGCGAGCUGGGUUCAGAACGUCGUGAGACAGUUCGGUCCCUAUCCGUCGCAGGCGUAGGAAAUUUGAGAAGACCUGUCCUUAGUACGAGAGGACCGGGAUGGACGUACCUCUGGUGUACCAGUUGUUCUGCCAAGGGCAUGGCUGGGUAGCUAUGUACGGAAUGGAUAAGCGCUGAAAGCAUCUAAGCGCGAAGCCAACUUCAAGAUAAGAUUUCCCACCGUAAGGGUAAGACCCCAGAAAGACUAUCUGGUUGAUAGGUCGAAGGUGUAAGUGCAGCAAUGUAUUUAGCUUAUCGAUACUAAUAGGUCGAGGACUUGACCAAU
rnacentral:rRNA from 1 species